UAGGAUCCCGACGUCUCCUGGCAUCAUUC
rnacentral:sRNA from 1 species